rnacentral:rRNA from 1 species
UAGUGGCGACGGGUGAGUAACACGUGGGCAAUCUGCCCUUCACUCUGGGACAAGCCCUGGAAACGGGGUCUAAUACCGGAUACCACUCCUGCCUGCAUGGGCGGGGGUUGAAAGCUCCGGCGGUGAAGGAUGAGCCCGCGGCCUAUCAGCUUGUUGGUGGGGUAAUGGCCUACCAAGGCGACGACGGGUAGCCGGCCUGAGAGGGCGACCGGCCACACUGGGACUGAGACACGGCCCAGACUCCUACGGGAGGCAGCAGUGGGGAAUAUUGCACAAUGGGCGAAAGCCUGAUGCAGCGACGCCGCGUGAGGGAUGACGGCCUUCGGGUUGUAAACCUCUUUCAGCAGGGAAGAAGCGAAAGUGACGGUACCUGCAGAAGAAGCGCCGGCUAACUACGUGCCAGCAGCCGCGGUAAUACGUAGGGCGCAAGCGUUGUCCGGAAUUAUUGGGCGUAAAGAGCUCGUAGGCGGCUUGUCACGUCGGAUGUGAAAGCCCGAGGCUUAACCUCGGGUCUGCAUUCGAUACGGGCUAGCUAGAGUGUGGUAGGGGAGAUCGGAAUUCCUGGUGUAGCGGUGAAAUGCGCAGAUAUCAGGAGGAACACCGGUGGCGAAGGCGGAUCUCUGGGCCAUUACUGACGCUGAGGAGCGAAAGCGUGGGGAGCGAACAGGAUUAGAUACCCUGGUAGUCCACGCCGUAAACGUUGGGAACUAGGUGUUGGCGACAUUCCACGUCGUCGGUGCCGCAGCUAACGCAUUAAGUUCCCCGCCUGGGGGAGUACGGCCGCAAGGCUAAAACUCAAAGGGAAUUGACGGGGGCCCGCACAAGCGGC